UCCUCUAGAAGCAACCACACCUGC
rnacentral:siRNA from 1 species